UACGAAGGGUGCAAGCGUUGUUCGGAUUUAUUGGGCGUAAAGCGCACGUAGGUGGACUUAUAAGUCAGAUGUGAAAUCUCGGGGCUCAACCUCGAAACUGCGUCUGAAACUGCAAGUCUAGAAUCUUGGAGGGGGCAGGGGAAUUUCACAUGUAGGGGUAAAAUCCGUAGAUAUGUGAAGGAACACCAGAGGCGAAGGCGCCUGCCUGGACAAGUAUUGACACUGAGGUGCGAAAGCGUGGGGAUCAAACAGG
rnacentral:rRNA from 2 species